rnacentral:piRNA from 1 species
CACACUAAUCAAGAGGCCACAGAAGU